UGUGAACCUGAUACCGAGACCAGACCCACCCCCAAACUCAAUAGUAAGUCCAAACCCCUAAAUGUGCCCCGAAAUUGGCUCAAGUAAUAAUUUCAAUCCGAACCCCUAUAAUGACCUCAAAUACCAAUUCUGACUCUAAACCCCUUUAUCACCUCUACUUGAUAGUGACCCCAUCACCAACCCUGGUCCUUAAAUGGACCCCAGUACCAACGCUGAUCCCUGAUCCCUGUAUGAAACCUAAAGUCCAAUGGCUCCCUUCUUAUGGACCCCAGCACUCUUUUCUGAACCCCAAGCCUUACAUAAACCUCUAAUACUGCAGUCCUAAUCCCAGGUCAACACCAACACCCUUUCUGAACUGGGAUUGAGUCACCAGAAAAGGACCCUAAUACAAAUACUGACCUCAAACCUCAUCCAUAUGGGGGCCCAUUUAAGACCCUACAUUGACUCACCUCUAAUGGUAAUCUUGGAACCCAAGAUUUAUGAGACUGGCUUUGCAGAAACUCCACACAAAUCCACUCAAUCCCCAUACUCACUCUCUACUUCUCCGACCCGAUGUCAACCCCAGAGCCUGGCCAACACCUCAAUAUCUACACCAAUUCCAACUGUGAACCUGAGUCAUGUUGUGAGUUGGCCCCUGAGUUCAGGACUUGAUAAUGUCCCCCAAGCCUGAUAUAAACCUCAGUAUUGAGUUUCUGACUCCUCAUAUCAAACUCAGAUGCUAACCCUAUAAAUUUCUGGGCUAAACCAAUAACUUACCUGAAGAUUUAUUCCAAGUCCUAACUCAGGAACUUGGUAAGCUCCAAACCAAGAGCCACACCUUGGCACCAAAGCCUCCGGCCCCAGACGUAUCGUCCAGUCUGUGCCACACCAGCUGUCUCCUGCCUGCCCACCUCAUGAAAGACGGGGUGCCUACCCCUACUGCUCUAGGUAAGAUGAGGACCCCUAUGGGAUCUCUGAUCUAUGGAGUCUCUGUGAUACCACUGUGAGUCUGGAGGUUAGGUGAGAAAGUUUGGGAAUUGUUGAGGCAUCUGGACUUGGGGAUCAUAGUGUAAUGUGCAGGGCAGGGGGAGAGAUGCGGGUCUAGGGAUCUGGGCUGAGGGGUCAAGUUCUGGUUAUCACCUAAUUCACUGCCUGCAUUUGCCCUGGACUUGGAUUUAGAAACGGUGCGUGUGCGCCCCCUGGUGCGUGAGAAGGGGAUGGGACUGGCUCCAGUGAUUCUGGGCAAACAAUUAGAUCCGGAUUCCGGAUGACAAACGGAUCAAAAAUGAACAUUCCUAGUCCGUGGUUUUUUUAUCCAUUGGUAAUUUUGGUGUACUGUGGGGGAGGCAUUGCAAAUUUCGUGCAUCUUUAGACGUUUUGGCCUGUUUUUCAGUAUUGGAGUGGGUUAGGCUUUCGGGGGGUGGGAUUCUUCUAAAUUUUAAAGUAUGCUUUUUGGCCAGUGAUACCUGCUCAUUGCUGACUCGUGAAAACAGUUCCUCUUGGCUUCAAUGGCCUACACUCUCCUCCCUGGCUACUGUUUCUCAAACUCUUUAACCAUCUCCUGCUCCUCCCGAGGUCUAUCCUAGGCCAUCCCUUCUUCCCCUCUGCCUCCUGUCCCUUGGACCAUCUCUACCACCAACAACCAAAUGCUGAUGACUUCCAAAUCUCUGUCUCCAGUGUGGGCCUUUCUUCUGAGCUCAGGACCCAUAUAUCCAAGAGUCUUCUCUAGAUCACUCCCCGGAUGUUCGUCAGUCCGUCAGAAAGAACUCAGAUGCCAGCACUGCACAACAGUCUGUGUACCAUCUCAGGUGUGGAGUGGGAGGAAAAAGGCCCAGACCCUAGAAUGCUAAUGCCUUUCACUCCUUCCUGCCUGGAGAACUUCCUGUCUGAGCUCCAGACCAGCGGGAGCCUAGCCAAUGGCUUCAUCAUCUCCACCUCCAUUUCUCAGAGGACCUCAACCGCAACACGUCUGAGACCUAACUCGUGGUCCUCAUUCUCUCACCUUCCCAGCGUUCUCUUUCUCAGUGGAUGGUACCAUUGUCCAUCGAACAGGCAAGCCAGAAUCUUAGGAACCAUCACCAAAUCCUGGGCCCUGGUCCAGGAAGAUCCCACAUGCCGCAAAGCAACUCAGCCCAUGCACCACAACUACUGAGCCUGCGCUCUAGAGCCCACAGUGCCACAGCUACUGAAGCCCGUGCACCUAGAGCCCGUGCUCCUCAACAAGAGAAGCCACUGCAAUGAUAAGUCCGUGCACCACAACGAAGAGUAGCCCCCACUCGCCACAACUAGGGAGAA